AUUGAACGCUGGCGGCAUGCCUUACACAUGCAAGUCGAACGGCAGCGGACCUUCGGGUGCCGGCGAGUGGCGAACGGGUGAGUAAUGCAUCGGAACGUGCCCUGGAGUGGGGGAUAACGUAGCGAAAGUUACGCUAAUACCGCAUAUUCUGUGAGCAGGAAAGCAGGGGAUCGCAAGACCUUGCGCUCUGGGAGCGGCCGAUGUCGGAUUAGCUAGUUGGUGGGGUAAAGGCCUACCAAGGCGACGAUCCGUAGCGGGUCUGAGAGGAUGAUCCGCCACACUGGGACUGAGACACGGCCCAGACUCCUACGGGAGGCAGCAGUGGGGAAUUUUGGACAAUGGCGAAAGCCUGAUCCAGCCAUGCCGCGUGAGUGAAGAAGGCCU
rnacentral:rRNA from 1 species